rnacentral:rRNA from 1 species
GAACGCCGUAGCAAUACGGAGUGGCAGACGGGUGAGUAACGCGUGGGAACCUUCCCAAUGGUACGGAAUAGCUCAGGGAAACUCGAGGUAAUACCGUAUACGCCCGAAAGGGGAAAGAUUUAUCGCCAUUGGAUGGGCCCGCGUAGGAUUAGCUAGUUGGUGAGGUAAUGGCUCACCAAGGCGACGAUCCUUAGCUGGUCUGAGAGGACGACCAGCCACACUGGGACUGAGACACGGCCCAGACUCCUACGGGAGGCAGCAGUGGGGAAUAUUGGACAAUGGGCGCAAGCCUGAUCCAGCCAUGCCGCGUGAGUGAUGAAGGCCUUAGGGUUGUAAUGCUCUUU